UUUGGAGUUCCUGGUGGCAAGUUACUCGGUUUUCUCGUUUCCAAACGGGGAAUCGACGCUAACCCAGAGAAGAUUGGCACUAUUCUCCGAAUGAAACGCCCUGUGCGAGUGCACGAUGUCCAGAAGCUUACUGGAUGCUUGGCCGCAUUAAGUCGAUUCAUCUCACGACUCGGUGAAAAGGCACUUCCUCUUUACCGACUGAUGAAGAAGGCUGACAAGUUCGAGUGGACUCCAGAAGCUGAUGCAGCGUUUGCCGAGCUAAAAGCUCUGCUCUCCACCCAGCCGGUGCUUGCUGCUCCAAUCAGCAAAGAGCCUCUGUUUCUCUACAUCGCAGCCACAGGACAAGUCGUCAGUACUGUGCUAACGGUCGAGCGGGAAGAAGAAGGAAAAGCUCUCAAAGUUCAGCGCCCAGUGUAUUAUUUGUCUGAAGUCUUGACUCCAUCCAAGCAGAGAUAUCCUUAUUAUCAGAAGCUUGUGUAUGGAAUAUACAUGACCACAAAGAAGGUUGCUCAUUAUUUCUCUGACCAUUCC
rnacentral:rRNA from 1 species